AUAAAAAGCAGGCUCACCCCUUAAUUUCUAGCAUAAAUCGACCCUCAAAUCUGCAAAGCGUUUUCUAGCAACCGAUCGAAAUCAAAGAUGAAGUUAAUAGCUCUUCUUCUUCUUCUUCAUAUGACCAUGAUGACCAAAACUUCAACCAUGCGUGACAUGGCCCUUAUGGAUCAAACCUAUGGAGAAGAUAUUGCCAAGGCAAAAAGCACUCUUGGGUCCUCAGGGAUCACGAUUGAUAACCAUCAUAGCAUACCUAGACCUGAUUACAAUAAUCCUCCAGCAGGAGUUGAUGGAAAUAACGAAGGGAAUGGAGGCGGGGACAAAUAAUUAAUUGAUCUCUAUGUGAUAUUUUAAUAGCUAGAGGGUGUGGAAUAUAUGUUUGGACGUCGGUUUGUAUUAUUAUAGUACGUAGCCAGCUACAACCUCAUAUGCUCAGGCUUUACAUGCCAAUAAAUUAUGUAAUUAAUCAGUAACUUCUGAAUGUCUAAUAAGAUAUGUAAUGGCCUUCUUUCAAAUCAAAGAUCCAGAUGGCUCUAAAAUUA